rnacentral:rRNA from 1 species
UCGUAGUUGAACCUUGGGCCUGGCUGGCCGGUCCGCCUCACCGCGCGUACUGGUCCGGCCGGGCCUUUCCCUCUGUGGAACCUCAUGCCCUUUCACUGGGUGUGACGGGGAAACAGGACUUUUACUUUGAAAAAAUUAGAGUGCUCCAGGCAGGCCUAUGCUCGAAUAUAUUAGCAUGGAAUAAUAAAAUAGGACGUGUGGUUCUAUUUUGUUGGUUUCUAGGACCGCCGUAAUGAUUAAUAGGGACAGUCGGGGGCAUCAGUAUUCAAUUGUCAGAGGUGAAAUUCUUGGAUUUAUUGAAGACUAACUACUGCGAAAGCAUUUGCCAAGGAUGUUUUCAUUAAUCAGGAACGAAAGUUAGGGGAUCGAAGACGAUCAGAUACCGUCGUAGUCUUAACCAUAAACUAUGCCGACUAGGGAUCGGACGAUGUUAUUUUUUGACGCGUUCGGCACCUUACGAGAAAUCAAAGUGCUUGGGCUCCAGGGGGAGUAUGGUCGCAAGGCUGAAACUUAAAGAAAUUGACGGAAGGGCACCACCAGGGGUGGAGCCUGCGGCUUAAUUUGACUCAACACGGGGAAACUCACCAGGUCCAGACACAAUGAGGAUUGACAGAUUGAGAGCUCUUUCUUGAUUUUGUGGGUGGUGGUGCAUGGCCGUUCUUAGUUGGUGGAGUGAUUUGUCUGCUUAAUUGCGAUAACGAACGAGACCUUAACCUGCUAAAUAGCCCGUAUUGCUUUGGCAGUACGCCGGCUUCUUAGAGGGACUAUCGGCUCAAGCCGAUGGAAGUUUGAGGCAAUAACAGGUCUGUGAUGCCCUUAGAUGUUCUGGGCCGCACG